UGCUAAUUUUACAAACAGUGCAAAUCAAAUUUCAUGCAAUUAUUAAGAGUUAUAAUUGACUAGGAACAGAGAAAAAUAUAAGAAUUUGGCUAUAAGAAAGUGUCACGCACAAAAAGGAACCCUGCAACGCUGAUCAGAAGAUUAUGUGAAGUAGGCUUUAUGGAAUUUUCCGCCUCGUCAUCACAAGGCAACCCAACCAUUGUUUACUUUCAUAUCUCUAGGUUACAAGGGUGGUGACCAAUGUCGGAGAUUUGCGAAGGCAAAAUCAAUGUAAGACAAGAUGCCACCAUCGAGAACCUCCUGGGCAUUAAGAAUUGAUGAUUAUACCCUUAAAAUGAGUGAUUCAGAACUUGGCAUGAACGAGAUCCAACACAACCCAUUGGGCAACUCUAAUCAAACAAGCUGAAGCCCAUGUCGUCAUCACUCUCCUCCUUCGGUUCUUCCUGUAAAGUUACAAUAUAAUGUAAGAUAUACGAAUAAAAUAUAAGAUAUACGAAAGAAAACGAAACACUCUGCACAAGCAUUCACCAAUUUACAACACAAAUUGCAAGCUACGCCGAGAACAAAAAAACUACCAGAAAGCUAUGCCAUGGGCAGAGAUUGAAACCCGCAUAGAUGAAAAACGUUGCACAGAAUGUAACGUGAGAGGAUAAACCACAUGACAGGUGCAUUUUCCACUGUAACUCAUAAUUAGAACUUACCUUCUUCUCCUCUUCCUUGGGUGCCUCAACAGCAGCGGAAGCAGCAGGUGCUGCACUCACAGCGACUGCACCACCACCACCUGCAAAGCACCGCGAUUCCAAGUAAUUCAACGAGAGUUUCCUGGCAAUUCAUAACCUAAAAAAGAUGCCCAGCAGAUUUACGUCCCCAGAAAAUCACCUACUAGUGAUAAAAACGAGUUUUAACCCAUCUCUACUUACCACCUCCAACAUUGGUGACAAGGUCAUCGACGCUCCUCUUCUCGC
rnacentral:lncRNA from 1 species